GACGAACGCUGGCGGCGUGCUUAACACAUGCAAGUCGAACGGAAAGGCCCUGCUUUUGUGGGGUGCUCGAGUGGCGAACGGGUGAGUAACACGUGAGUAACCUGCCCUUGACUUUGGUAUAACUUCAGGAAACUGGGGCUAAUACCGGAUAGGAGCUCCUGCUGCAUGGUGGGGGUUGGAAAGUUUCGGCGGUUGGGGAUGGACUCGCGGCUUAUCAGCUUGUUGGUGGGGUAGUGGCUUACCAAGGCCUUGACGGGUAGCCGGCCUGAGAGGGUGACCGGCCACAUUGGGACUGAGAUACGGCCCAGACUCCUACGGGAGGCAGCAGUGGGGAAUAUUGCACAAUGGGCGGAAGCCUGAUGCAGCAACGCCGCGUGCGGGAUGACGGCCUUCGGGUUGUAAACCGCUUUCGCCUGUGACGAAGCGUGAGUGACGGUAAUGGGUAAAGAAGCACCGGCUAACUACGUG
rnacentral:rRNA from 1 species